GAAAUGCGAUAAGUAAUGUGAAUUGCAGAAUUCAGUGAAUCAUCGAAUCUUUGAACGCACAUUGCGCCCGCCAGUAUUCUGGCGGGCAUGCCUGUCCGAGCGUCAUUUCAACCAUCAAGCCCCCGGGCUUGUGUUGGGGACCUGCGGCUGCCCGCAGGCCCUGAAAACCAGUGGCGGGCUCGCUGGCACACCGAGCGUAGUAGCAAUCACCUCGCUCAGGGCGUGCUGCGGGUUCCGGCCGUUAAACAGCCUUACAAAACCCAAGGUUGACCUCGGAUCAGGUAGGAAGACCCGCUGAACUUAAGC
rnacentral:misc_RNA from 1 species